GCAUAGAGACUGACUUUAGGAGCCAAUUCAAUCUACCUUUAUAAUGUAAUGUAAUGUUUCUAAAUGAAGGAUACCAGUACAUAUUUGAAUGCAUGCUAUGAUUGAGAGCAAUAUGAGAUGAGCAGAGAGAACACUUAUUUGAGGUCCUUUUUGGAAGACGUUAUCAUGCCCAACAUCACAAUUACAAGCCUAUUUACUUUCAAAACGGUUCAUAGAAUCUCUUCAAAUAAGAGCUUCCCAUUUGACAAGGACGACGGUGAUGGGGAGGAUGAGGAAGAUGGGAACGAAGAUGUUCAUGAUUCAGAGGCCGAGGUGGCGAGUCUGAGAGGAAUGGAGUUACAGGGGUGUGCCAGGUAAAUGCGAGGCCGCUGGGCUGAUACAGCCCUUCUUGAUUAGACCUUUCUGUGUACCUUCC
rnacentral:lncRNA from 1 species